rnacentral:rRNA from 1 species
GGGCCCUCUGGGUCCAACCUCCCACCCGUGUCUAUCGUACCUUGUUGCUUCGGCGGGCCCGCCGUUUCGACGGCCGCCGGGGAGGCCUUGCGCCCCCGGGCCCGCGCCCGCCGAAGACCCCAACAUGAACGCUGUUCUGAAAGUAUGCAGUCUGAGUUGAUUAUCGUAAUCAGUUAAAACUUUCAACAACGGAUCUCUUGGUUCCGGCAUCGAUGAAGAACGCAGCGAAAUGCGAUAAGUAAUGUGAAUUGCAGAAUUCAGUGAAUCAUCGAGUCUUUGAACGCACAUUGCGCCCCCUGGUAUUCCGGGGGGCAUGCCUGUCCGAGCGUCAUUGCUGCCCUCAAGCACGGCUUGUGUGUUGGGCCCCCGUCCCCCUCUCCCGGGGGACGGGCCCGAAAGGCAGCGGCGGCACCGCGUCCGGUCCUCGAGCGUAUGGGGCUUUGUCACCUGCUCUGUAGGCCCGGCCGGCGCCAGCCGACACCCAACUUUAUUUUUCUAAGGUUGACCUCGGAUCAGGUAGGGAUACCCGCUGAACUUAAGCAUAUCAAUAAGCCGGAAGAA